rnacentral:misc_RNA from 1 species
UCAAGCUUCAACUCUGCUUCGCUUGCUCUAUCCUCGUUUCGUUUGGAACCUCCACCUUCGCACCUUAUCCUCUCUUUAUCCCCUCUCUUCAACAAUGGCUACUAAUGACUCGCCUACCCAACUCACUGAUUCACAAGAAGAUCUCAUUCCUGAGCCAGAACUAGAACCAGAACAAGAGCAAGAAGACCCAGAUGCAGAAAAGCGCUCUUCAUCAUCCUCAGAUUCCGACUCUGAUUCUGAUUCAGACUACGACUUUGACUAUGACUAUGCACCUGGCCAAGACGCCACGGUCCCCUACACCCGCCCUGGUGACGAGCCGCCGCCGUCGGAUAACACACCGGAAAUCAAUAUUGCUCGGUUUUCCCAAGUGCUGGACAGCAAGCAAAUGAAAAAGAUGGAAGAGGAAGAGGAACGAAAUUAUACUUAUUACGAGGACCUGUUUAAUUUUCCUGAGGACGAGGAGAACUGGAGAGAGGAGGAUUUGAAAGAGCUGUGGGCGGAUGCUCCACUGGAAAUGACGAAACCCGGGUGGGAUCCAGUGUGGGCGGACGAGGAGGACUGGGAGAUUAUGAGGAAUGAGAUGAAGAAAGGGAGAGACCCACCCAUUGCUCCGUUUUAUCUUCCUUACAGGCCUCCAUAUCCAGUUAUCCCUGAUAACCAUUACGAUAUCUCAAAUCCCAAGGCUGUUAUUGAGGAGUUGGAUAGAAUUGAGGAGUUCCUUACUUGGGAUAGCUACAUUUUCCCUGAUGGGAGCUCGUAUGAAGGCACUGUUUGGGAUGACCUGGCUCAUGGCAAGGGUGUGUACAUUGCAGAACAGGGACUAGUCAGGUAUGAAGGUGAAUGGCUUCGGAAUAACAUGGAAGGCCAUGGAGUUGUUGAAGUGGAUAUACCUGAUAUUGAACCUGUGCCAGGUUCCAAGCUUGAAGCAGAGAUGCGUGCUGAAGGGCAUAUAAUAUCAAGAGAUUUUAUGUCCCCAGAAGACAGAAAAUGGCUGGAGAUGGAUAUUGAAGACAGCAUUCUUCUAUCUCGGGGGCAGUAUGAAACACCUUUUUAUGAGAAUGAUGAGUGGAUCAGACAAUUUGGGAGAAAACCGGAAAAAGGUCGGUACCGAUAUGCUGGUGAGUGGAAGCAUGGCAGAAUGCAUGGAUGCGGCGUCUAUGUUGUGAAUGAGCGUACAUUAUAUGGUAGAUUCUACUUUGGAGAGUUUGUUGAUGAGGCUACAGACUGUGAUGAGAACAUUUCAGCAUUGCAUGCAGGAAUAGCAGAAGUAGCUGCUGCUAAGGCUCGGAUGUUUGUUAACAAACCAGAUGGAAUGGUCAGGGAAGAGAGGGGUCCAUAUAGUGAUCCUCAACAUCCCUAUUUCUAUGAGGAAGAAGAUGUGUGGAUGGCACCAGGCUUCGUCAAUCAGUUCUAUGAAGUCCCUGAUUACUGGAAAAGAUAUGUGCAAGAUGUGGAUCAGGAAAGAGAAAUGUGGUUAAAUUCCUUCUAUAAAGCUCCGUUGAGAUUACCUAUGCCUGCUGAGCUUGAGUACUGGUGGUCAAAUGAAGAUGAGGAUCCUGAAUUUGUUAUUCUUAACAAGGAACCAGAACCUGAUCCUGAAGACCCAUCAAAGCUUAUAUAUACUGAAGAUCCUGUAAUCUUACACACAAAAACUGGACGAAUAAUCAAUUACAUCGAGGAUGAAGAACAUGGGGUUCGUUUGUUUUGGCAACCUCCUCUAAAAGAUGGAGAAGAUAUGGAUCCUGAAAAGGUUCAGUUCCUACCUCUAGGUUUUGAUGAGUUUUACGGAAAAGAGACAGUGGUGAAGAAAGAAAAUAUCUGGCAGCGUCUUCUAACAGCAGUGGAAAAUGCAUUUAAGCCAAUGCUUGAAAGACUAGAGAAAUGGACUGAAGAGAAGAAGAAAACUAGUGAGAUGAAAAUUAAGCUGCUUGAAGAAGAACUUGCACUGGCAGAGGCCGAAUCGUCUCUGGAAGAGGCCAUUGAAGACAUGGAUGAGGAGUUGAAGUUGCAAGAGAAAGAGGAGGAGAGGGCAGAAAUAGGUUUGCAGGAGGAAGAGGAUAGUUCUGUAUCACCUGAUCAAGAUCAGAGAUCUGUAGUUGAAGAGGAAGAAGAAGCUGAGGAUGAGGAAGAUGAUGAGGAUGAUGAUAUUACGCCAUCAAGUUUUGGGUCUGUAAGCCAAGAUGAGGGCCCAACAAAGAACGACCAGAAAGGAAAAAGACCUGGGGAAACUCCUUUCUCCUCAUGUUCAUUGUCAUUUGCCUCUUCUAGCCUUCUUUCAGCUGUUCCAUCCGGGUUACAAAAAUCCUUUUUGGCUUGGAAGAACAGAUUGCCACAAAAGUCAACUUCUUCCUUGCCUGCAGAGGGCCCUAAUGUCCUUCCAGGAGAGGUUAAUUCAGUCAGUUUUCCCGCAAUCAUUGGCCAAAAAGGAAGCUUGAAAGCUAAAAGCAAUGUGAAUCAAAUGUUUCGAUCAAGAAAUCGUUCCAUCGGAAAGAUGUCGUUACAUUCUUUAUCCCGAAUUCUGUUGUGUCCUCCAGCUUCACGAGAACCUGAAAAGAGACUAAAGAUUUCAAGAAAACAGAGCCAUGCUUGGCUGCAUGCAGCACCAGAGAGAGAUUCAGACAUCAUAUUGUCAUUGCACACCCAAGUAUAUUGUUUAGAAUCACAAGCUGAAACAACUACGUGUGAGCCUCUUUCCCUAUAAAAUUGAGCAAUUUUAUGCUUUUGAAAAAAGACCAAUUUUGUAGACGCCAUGAUCAUUGUUUUGACAAUUUUCACGUUUACUUAGCUUUAACCAGUUUAAGGUGAUGAAAGAGCGUCUGAGCAGAUAAAAUUGCUGCAACUGUAUUUUGUGUAUUUUCACUCAAUAAUAUUGGAAUCAUCUUUGGGAACGUAAUGUUAUGAGUUUAAACUCCGAUUGGAGCUCAAUUGCUGAAUGACAGAAUUAUGGUCCUUUAACUUGUCUUUC